GAUCUACAAGAUGGGUCAAAGUCAGAGUGGUGGCCAUGGUCCUGGAGGUGGCAAGAAGGAUGACAAGGAUAAGAAAAAGAAAUAUGAACCUCUUGUACCAACCAGAGUGGGGAAAUAGAAGAAGAAAACAGGGACCAGAUGCAGCAAGCAAACUACCACUGGUGACACCUCACACUCAGUGCCGAUUAAAAUUGUUGAAGUUAGAGAGAAUUAAAGACUAUCUUCUCAUGGAGGAAGAAUUCAUUAGAAAUCUGGAACAAACGAAACAAUUAGAGGAAAAGCAAGAGGAGGAAAGAUCAAAAGUGGAAGAUCUGAGAGGAACCCCAAUGUCAGUAGGAACCUUGGAAGAGAUCAUUGAUGACAAUCAUGCCAUCGUGUCCACAUCUGUGGGCUCAGAACACUAUGUCAGCAUCCUUUCAUUUGUAGACAAGGAUCUGCUGGAACCAGGCUGUUUGGUCCUGCUCAACCACAAGGUGCAUGCCGUGAUAGGGGUGCUGAUGGAUGACACAGAUCCCCUGGUCACAGUGAUGAAGGUGGAAAAGGCACCCCAGGAAACCUAUGCUGAUAUUGGGGGCUUGGACAACCAAAUCCAGGAAAUUAAGGAAUCUGUAGAGCUUCCUCUCACCCAUCCUAAAUAUUAUGAAGAGAUGGGUAUAAAGCCCCCUAAAGGGGUCAUUCUCUAUGGUCCGCCUGGCACAGGUAAAACCUUGUUAGCCACAGCAGUAGCAAACCAAACCUCGGCCACUUUCUUGAGAGUGGUUGGCUCUGAACUCAUUCAGAAGUACCUAGGUGAUGGGCCCAGACUUGUUCGGGAAUUGUUUGAAGUUACUGAAGAACAUGCACCUUCCAUUGUGUUAUUGGUGAAAUUGAUGCCAUUGGGACAAAAAGAUAUAACUCAAAUUCUGGUGGUGAGAGAGAAAUUCAGUGGACAAUGUUGGAACUGUUGAACCAGUUGGAUGGAUUUGAUUCAAGGGGAGAUGUGAAACUUAUUAUGGCUACAAACCGAAUAGAAACUUUGGAUCCAGCUCUUAUCAGACCAGGCCGCAUUGACAGGAAGAUAGAGUUUCCCCUGCCUGAUGAAAAGACUAAGAAGCGCAUCUUUCAGAUUCACACAAGCAGGAUGACCUUGGCUGAUGAUGUAACUUUGGAUGACUUGAUCAUGGCUAAAGAUGACCUCUCUGGUGCUGACAUUAAGGCAAUUUGUACAGAAGCUGGUCUGAUGGCCUGAAGAGAACGUAGAAUGAAAGUAACAAAUGAAGACUUCAAAAAAUCUAAAGAAAAUGUUCUGUAUAAAAAACAAGAAGACACCCCUGAGGGGCUUUAUCUCGAGUGAACCACAGUUGCUAUCAGGAAAAUGGGAGUUAACCUGACCCCAGAGACAUGAGGUUGGAGAAGCUGCCCAGAGUCGUCCAUGUUCUGAUAUUAGCAAACAUCCUCUGUAUCUUUUGGAAUAUGAUGUGUAAGCUGCCCCUUGGGUAGCCUUCAUCUGCUGGUCAGUGUGCAGCACUCUGCUUCCCAAUAAAGCAGGCUCUUUUCA